UGCGGAGGGAUCAUUACACAAAUAUGAAGGCGGGCUGGAACCUCUCGGGGUUACAGCCUUGCUGAAUUAUUCACCCUUGUCUUUUGCGUACUUCUUGUUUCCUUGGUGGGUUCGCCCACCACUAGGACAAACAUAAACCUUUUGUAAUUGCAAUCAGCGUCAGUAACAAAUUAAUAAUUACAACUUUCAACAACGGAUCUCUUGGUUCUGGCAUCGAUGAAGAACGCAGCGAAAUGCGAUAAGUAGUGUGAAUUGCAGAAUUCAGUGAAUCAUCGAAUCUUUGAACGCACAUUGCGCCCUUUGGUAUUCCAAAGGGCAUGCCUGUUCGAGCGUCAUUUGUACCCUCAAGCUUUGCUUGGUGUUGGGCGUCUUGUCUCUAGCUUUGCUGGAGACUCGCCUUAAAGUAAUUGGCAGCCGGCCUACUGGUUUCGGAGCGCAGCACAAGUCGCACUCUCUAUCAGCAAAGGUCUAGCAUCCAUUAAGCCUUUUUUUCAACUUUUGACCUCGGAUCAGGUAGGGAUACCCGCUGAACUUAAGCAUA
rnacentral:rRNA from 1 species